AGGACGAACGCUGGCGGCGUGCCUAACACAUGCAAGUCGAACGAGGUCCAUCCGGUAGCAAUACUGGUGAAGAUCAAGUGGCGAACGGGUGAGUAGCACGUGAGCAACCUGCCCCGAAGACCGGGACAACACCGGGAAACCGGUGCUAAUACCGGAUAUCCCCACCGAGUCGCAUGGCUUGGUGAGGAAAUGGAUUCCGCUUCGGGAGGGCUCGCGGCCUAUCAGCUUGUUGGUGAGGUAAUGGCUCACCAAGGCUUCGACGGGUAGCUGGUCUGAGAGGACGAUCAGCCACACUGGGACUGAGACACGGCCCAGACUCCUACGGGAGGCAGCAGUGGGGAAUCUUGCACAAUGGGCGAAAGCCUGAUGCAGCAACGCCGCGUGAGGGACGAAGGCUUUCUGAGUUGUAAACCUCUUUCAGCAGGGACGAUUGUGACGGUACCUGCAGAAGAAGCCCGGCAACUACGCGCCAGCAGCCG
rnacentral:rRNA from 1 species